rnacentral:lncRNA from 1 species
CAUAAUAGAUGCUUUGCUGAUCGCCCCCAGCUGCUCCAGAACACCUAGAUCUUAAAGGAAAUUUACUUUUUGGAUUGUUGUACUUGCAGGAAGUAGAGAAAAAUCUCCCAGGAACCCUCCUUCCUAAAGGAAGGGUAACAAAUUCCAAGCCAGAACCAGAGCUAAGAGCCAAGAGUGGAGAAUAAGCUGCAGAACGAGAUUCCUGACAGCAGCACUCUGAUUUGUAUUUGGGAUAGUAAACCUUGAGCCACAGUGAGGAAGGGGAGUUGAACAGAAAUCUCUGCAUCACACCAAAAUAGCGGCAGCCCUCCGACUCCAGCAAAAGCAGGUGCUCUGACUUUUGGCCUCACUACUGACGGAUGCAGCAGCUCAGGCCCAGCACUGACAACCAUCCACCAAACUCAGGUCGCCUCUGAGAGUAAGAACUGUGGGCUCUGAGUCCUCUCUGCCCCCAUCUUCUGCCCCUCAACAGUCCCCCGGAAUCUGGCCAGGCUUCUCUCCUGGGUGAGUACCUGUGUGACCUUGGCUAUUGCAUACACCAUCCACAGAGACUCUGCCCCUGGCAAGGCGAGCCCUCUCUGCACCC